rnacentral:rRNA from 1 species
GACGAGGGAUCCUAGCGUUGUUCGGAAUCAUUGGGCGUAAAGCGGGUGCAGGCGGCUUUGUAAGUCAGGUGUGAAAGCCCAGGGCUCAACCCUGGAAGUGCAUUUGAUACUGCGAAGCUUGAGUGCUAGAGAGGUUAUUAGAAUACAUGGUGUAGUGGUGAAAUACGUAGAUAUCAUGUGGAAUACCGGAGGCGAAGGCGGAUAACUGGCUAGACACUGACACUCAGACCCGAAAGCGUGGGGAUCAAACAGG